rnacentral:rRNA from 1 species
UACGUAGGGGGCGAGCGUUGUCCGGAAUUACUGGGCGUAAAGGCGAGUAGGCGGCUAUACAAGUCAGAAUGUGAAAUACCAGGGCUCAACCCUGGUACUGCAUUUGAAACUGUGUAGCUUGAGUACAGGAGAGGAAAGUGGAAUUCCCAGUGUAGCGGUGAAAUGCGUAGAUAUGACACAGAACACCGGAUAAGCGAAGGCAGCUCACAAAAGUUUAA